rnacentral:snoRNA from 1 species
AAGUGUCCUAUUGCUUAAAGCAGUUGAUGCGUAACUGUCUCUGUCUAGUGUAAUUCCAUACUAAGACGGAGACAGUUGGUCUCAGCUAU